ACACUGCUGUAGAAUCAGCCAGUCAGAACACAGAGACGGGUUAGACACUGCUGUGGAAUCAGCCAGUCAGAACACAGAGACGGGUUAGACACUGCUGUAGAAUCAGCCAGUCAGAACACAGAGACGGGUUAGACACUGCUGUAGAAUCAGCCAGUCAGAACACAGAGACGGGUUAGACACUGCUGUAGAAUCAGCCAGUCAGAACACAGAGACGGGUUAGACACUGCUGUAGAAUCAGCCAGUCAGAACACAGAGACGGGUUAGACACUGCUGUAGAAUCAGCCAGUCAGAACACAGAGACGGGUUAGACACUGCUGUAGAAUCAGCCAGUCAGAACACAGAGACAGGUUAGACACUUGUGGAAUCAAACAGUCAGAACACAGAGACAGGUUAGACACUGCUGUGGAAUCAAACAGUCAGAACACAGAGACAGGUUAGACACUGCUGUAGAAUCAGCCAGUCAGAACACAGAGACGGGUUAGACACUGCUGUGGAAUCAGCCAGUCAGAACACAGAGACGGGUUAGACACUGCUGUAGAAUCAGCCAGUCAGAACACAGAGACGGGUUAGACACUGCUGUAGAAUCAGCCAGUCAGAACACAGAGACGGGUUAGACACUGCUGUAGAAUCAGCCAGUCAGAACACAGAGACGGGUUAGACACUGCUGUAGAAUCAGCCAGUCAGAACACAGAGACGGGUUAGACACUGCUGUAGAAUCAGCCAGUCAGAACACAGAGACAGGUUAGACACUUGUGGAAUCAAACAGUCAGAACACAGAGACAGGUUAGACACUGCUGUAGAAUCAGCCAGUCAGAACACAGAGACAGGUUAGACACUUGUGGAAUCAAACAGUCAGAACACAGAGACAGGUUAGACACUGCUGUAGAAUCAGCCAGUCAGAACACAGAGACAGGUUAGACACUUGUGGAAUCAAACAGUCAGAACACAGAGACAGGUUAGACACUGCUGUAGAAUCAGCCAGUCAGAACACAGAGACAGGUUAGACACUGCUGUAGAAUCAGCCAGUCAGAACACAGAGACGGGUUAGACACUGCUGUAGAAUCAGCCAGUCAGAACACAGAGACGGGUUAGACACUGCUGAUGGACAGCGAAAUUCUCUAAUGAGAGCACAGAGAGCAGUUUAAACUGGAAUCAUUUGUUUUGAGAAAAUGACAUUUGUCAUAUAUUGUAUUACAAUGUGAACCGUCUGAAUGAAGGACAAACCAAUAAAUACAUGUAUAUAAUCAGACAUAAAAUAUACAUUUCAUUCAACAGCGAUUAACAGCAACUGUUGAUGUGCAACAACUUUGUUUACCUGGUCUUCAUUCCAACCCUCCUAGGAAUUCUAGUAGUGUCUGAUCAAGAGUUAGUCCUAAAUGGCACCCUAUUCCCUAUGGCCCCUGGUCAGAAGUAGUGCACUAUACAGGCCAGGGAAUAGGAUGUGAUUUGGGCUGCAGCUCUAGUGUGUGAUGUCCUCCCUACCUGAAGUAGCGUUUCUGGCUGCUGGUGCUCUUCUCCAUGGCGUCCAGAGAGCCCAUGCCGCGGUACUUCUUCAGCCGCACGCCGUCCGAGAAGAAGUACUCCCCCGGAGCCUCCGUGGUCGCCGCUAGCAACGAGCCCAUCAUCACUGGGGAGGGGCGCAAGAGGUCAUAACUCACGGUCAUUGGUUGGUAAGCAUUUCUCCAAUUAACUGUCGGUACGGCUAGUGUUUUGUUACAUCGAUUACCAUCAAUCAGCUUUGAAUGAAUUAGAAGAAUAGACGUGAGAUCAACAGUGGAUUAGAAGAAUAGACGUGAGAUCAACAGUGGAUUAGAAGAAUAGACGUGAGAUCAACAGUGGAUUAGAAGAAUAGACGUGAGAUCAACAGUGGAUUAGAAGAAUAGACGUGAGAUCAACAGUGGAUUAGAAGAAUAGACGUGAGAUCAACAGUGGAUUAGAAGAAUAGACGUGAGAUCAACAGUGGAUUAGAAGAAUAGACGUGAGAUCAACAGUGGAUUAGAAGAAUAGACGUGAGAUCAACAGUGGAUUAGAAGAAUAGACGUGAGAUCAACAGUGGAUUAGAGGAAUAGACGUGAGAUCAACAGUGGAUUAGAAGAAUAGACGUGAGAUCAACAGUGGAUUAGAGGAAUAGACGUGAGAUCAACAGUGGAUUAGAAGAAUAGACGUGAGAUCAACAGUGGAUUAGAAGAAUAGACGUGAGAUCAACAGUGGAUUAGAAGAAUAGACGUGAGAUCAACAGUGGAUUAGAAGAAUAGACGUGAGAUCAACAGUGGAUUAGAGGAAUAGACGUGAGAUCAACAGUGGA